rnacentral:rRNA from 1 species
AGCGAACGCUGGCGGUAGGCCUAACACAUGCAAGUCGAACGGCCCCACCGUAAGAGCUUGCUCUUACGUGUGGCGAGUGUCGGACGGUGGCGGUAUACUUGGGAAACUACAUUUUCGCGGGUGCUAAUGUAGGAAAACUCACGCUAAUACCGCAUAUGACCUACGGGUGAAAGCACGCGUUCUUCGGACCUUGCGCGAUUGAAUGAGCCGGUGUCGGAGUAGCUAGAUGGCGGGGUCAAGGCCCACCAAGGCGAAGAUCCGUACCUGGUCUGAGAGGAUGAUCAAGCAGACUGUAACUGAGACUGAGCACAGACUCCGACGGUAGGCAGCAGUGGGGAAUAUUGGACAAUGGGCGCGAGGCUGAUCCAGCCAUACCGCGGGGGUGAAGAAGGCCUUCGGGUUGGAAAGCCCUUUUGUUGGGAAAGAAAAGCAGUAGUUUAAUACCCCGCGGUUCUGACGGUACCCAAAGAAUAAGCACCGGCUAACUUCGUG